rnacentral:RNase_P_RNA from 2 species
GCGGAUGGCCGGAUGACCGCGUGUGUGACGUAGUCCCGUAAGGGAAACCGGCGCGCGCGAGGAAAGUCCGGACUCCAUGAGGCAAGGGUGCCGGGUAACGCCCGGCUGGGGUAACCCAAGGGAAAGCGCCACAGAGAAGAGACUGCUUUGCAUGCAAAGUGAUGGUGAAACGGCGGGGUAAGAGCCCACCGCGGACGUGGCAACACGGACGGCAUGGCAAGCCCCACCCGGAGCAAUGCCGAAUAGGGACCUUGCGCCUGCGCCCUUCGGGGCACAGGCAGGGAUGCAACAGCCCAGAGGUCCGGGUUGGCAGCUAGACCCCGUUGGUAACAGCGGGGGCAGAGGAAUGGUCAUCGAAGGGAAAGCGGUCGCAAGAUCGCGGCCCCGGAACAAAAUCCGGCUUAUAGGCCAUCCGCACAU